UACGUAUGGAGCAAGCGUUAUCCGGAUUUACUGGGCGUAAAGGGUGCGUAGGCGGCACAGCAAGUCAGAUGUGAAAGACCGGGGCUCAACCCCGGGGCUGCAUUUGAAACUGCCGAGCUUGAGUCCGGGAGAGGCAGGCGGAAUUCCUAGUGUAGCGGUGAAAUGCGUAGAUAUUAGGAGGAACACCAGUGGCGAAGGCGGCCUGCUGGACCGGAACUGACGCUGAGGCACGAAAGCGUGGGGAGCAAACAGG
rnacentral:rRNA from 1 species